GAUCAUGGCUCAGGAUGAACGCUAGCUACAGGCUUAACACAUGCAAGUCGAGGGGCAGCAUGGUCUUAGCUUGCUAAGGCCGAUGGCGACCGGCGCACGGGUGAGUAACGCGUAUCCAACCUGCCCACCACUUGGGGAUAACCUUGCGAAAGUAAGACUAAUACCCAAUGAUAUCUCUAGAAGACAUCUGAAAGAGAUUAAAGAUUUAUCGGUGAUGGAUGGGGAUGCGU
rnacentral:rRNA from 1 species